rnacentral:rRNA from 1 species
GAUGAACGCUGGCGUCGUGCCUAAUACAUGCAAGUCGAGCGAACAGACGAGGAGCUUGCUCCUCUGACGUUAGCGGCGGACGGGUUAGUAACACGUGGAUAACCUACCUAUAAGACUGGGAUAUCUUCGGGAAACCGGAGCUAAUACCGGAUAAUAUAUUGAACCGCAUGGUUCAAUAGUGAAAGACGGUUUUGCUGUCACUUAUAGAUGGAUCCGCGCCGCAUUAGCUAUUUGGUAAGGUAACGGCUUACCAAGGCAACGAUGCGUAGCCGACCUGAGAGGGUGAUCGGCCACACUGGAACUGAGACACGGUCCAGACUCCUACGGGAGGCAGCAGUAGGAAAUCUUCCGAAAUGGGCGAAAGCCUGACGGAGCAAAGCCGCGUGAGUGAUGAAGGUCUUCGGAUCGUAAAACUCUGUUAUUAGGGAAGAACAAAUGGGUAAGUAACUAUGCAGGUCUUGACGGUACCUAAUCAGAAAGCAACGGCUAACUACG